CCACCUGCACAAAUACAAUGUGAAACUGAACUAAAAUCGUUGCUUUGCUACCUUAAUGCCCAUCUGCUUAAACCUACCAGGCUAUAAGUGUAGAAUGGUUCACAGGAUCUAUUAUCACCUACUCUCUCAUUGCUUCUGUACCUGGGAAUACUCAACAACACUCAUACGGACAGCAGACCAAUUGUGUGAAUGACGCCUCCAAGAGUUGGUAUUUGGAACUGUGAUGUAUUCAUCAAGAAAUAGGCAUUAGCUCUUCAUUUAUCACCUCAAUACAACCAACAACGAAGAGUGAUGGGAACUGUAGAUUCUUCAACUCUAGGCAGAAGCUAGUCAAGAAGUCAAAUGACCAAGAGGAACCAAUCCCCAGCCACUUCCACAUUGCUUCUUCUGGUCUGUCUGCUUGUCUACCACUGCCCAUUGCUGCUCUAUUAGAGCUGUUUUUCAUUGUUUUGUGGAAGGAGGCUGUGUAGAUUGCCUAAGCCAAAGAACCUCCUAAUUAAUUUUGCUAUUGGUUGCUAAUGGAUCCCUCUGUCCAUUUAUUUCCAUGUAUAAUUGUAAAAUAACUACCAUACAGCAAUCUCAGUAACUAGCUACUCUUUGCAAGAAGGUUCGAUCAAGGAGCAUUGAAGUACGAAAGCAUCACAUUAUAGUCUUGGUUGCCACAUCCCUCCACCAACUUGGAACAAUCCCCAAGUUUACAAGCAUGCUGGGGCCAUACUUAGUUUGGUGGCACAGGAGAAAAAAACAAAAUGUUCGGCCAUAAAUCAUGAAUGGGAAAAGCUUCUAUGCAAAUGACCCCUUGGUUUUCACGUCAGACGGCUCUGUUUGCAAGCUUCUCGGGAGGAUUUGAUUGCUGCAGGAAAAAAGGAACCACAACGCACCCAAACAAUGCAGUUAGCUCUCCUGACAAAAGCUAAAGGAAGUCUGUUCUGUGCUGCACAGCUGCAGAAUAUUAGCCUCUAAGACUUCUGUGGCAUUAAAACCCAAGGCCGACACACCCAUAUUUACAGCACAUAAUGUACUGUACUGUGACCUGUGCCAAGAAACUUAACCUAUCUACUUUGGCAGAAAAACCAAGUCAUACCAGGUUAAUCCGAUUCUUAAAUUGCACAACUUCUAUACAACUGGAGGGAAACCAAACCCUUCCUUUCCCCCUCCUUCCAAUUUUUCUCUCUCAGUUCCCUUCCCAACCAGCACAGUGGCCUCAUUUUUCUCCCUGCUGAGUGCUUGCAUCUCACUUCCAAAACAAUAACAACAAGCAUAGCUGUCCUUAAUUCCUUCGGUAUUUCCCAAAUGGAUUAUUAGAAAAGAAGUGCACAGCCUGGGGAAUGCCAGUGAGCAUGAAUGAUGGGCAUAUUCCUCACUUGUGACACGCAGAAGAGCUCUGGUAAGACAAAAUAUCCAAAUUUAAACUCUGCAAAGCUCACUGAACUAUUAUUUCGAGGAAGCAUAAUUAGGAAGGAGACUCCUCACUUUUUAUUUAUUUAUUAGGACACUGUCCCUUUUACAUCCAUGCAUGUGCCUCUUUCAAGCAUCCUCUAAUUGCAAGGACCAUGCAUGUCUUCCUCCUUUAACCCUGCCUUGUUCUAAUUUUACUUGAUUUUUAAUGCUGAAAUGGCUGAUAAUAAAGCGUUCAUCAUGUUAAUUUCCCAAUUUCAGAAUUCACUGCAAUAGUACUACCCACUGCCUCCUACCCCUGAAACAGCUUGUCACUUCCCCAAAUAAAAGAGACUUAGUUCAGACACAAGCCUGAAUUUAUAACCGAAGAAUUGUACCAAGCAGGGAAUCAAUAUUUGUUUUGCAUAAAAAAGCUGGAUGUAUUUCUUGCCGUUGCAAGUACCUGAUGCUUUCUUCUCUAAAUACACAACAGAGCACACUGUUGGGUGGCCACCAACUUAUCUAGAACCUUUAACUGCUACCAACGGAGUUUAGAUUAAAGGAAAGCCUACUACUGCAUAACACAUUAUGUCAGGAUGAGAGUUGAGCCUGUAUAUUUGAAAUAAGAAUGAUACAAUCCCUAGGUUGCAUGGAAUCAUUUCAUUGUGGGGGGGGGGGUAUAUGUUUGUUAUGUAUGUUGUUGUGAGCCACCCAGAGUUAUGUUAAUGGGAGAUCAUAAUAAAAGACACAUCAAUA